GUGCUCACUUCUGCAGCAGAUAUACUAAAAUUGGAACAAUCCAGAGAAGACUAGCAUGUCCCCUGCACAAGGAUGACACGUAAAUUUAUUAAGUGUUCUAUAUUUAA
ensembl:snRNA U6 U6 spliceosomal RNA